GAUGAACGCUAGCGGCAGGCUUAACACAUGCAAGUCGAGGGGUAUAGGUUUUCGGACCUAAAGACCGGCGCACGGGUGCGUAACGCGUAUGCAAUCUACCUUUCACAUAGGGAUAGCCCAGAGAAAUUUGGAUCAAUACCUCAUAGUAUAACAGUUUCGCAUGAAACCAACAUUAAAGUUCCAACGGUGCAAGAUGAGCAUGCGUCCCCUUAGCGAGAUGGUAAGGUAACGGCUUACCAUGGGUACGAUGGGGAGGGGUCCUGAGAGGGAGAUCCCCCACACUGGUACUGAGACACGGACCAGACUCCUACGGGAGGCAGCAGUGAGGAAUAUUGGUCAAUGGACGCAAGUCUGAACCAGCCAUGCCGCGUGCAGGAUGACGGUCCUAUGGAUUGUAAACUGCUUUUGUACGAGAAGAAACAACAUUACGUGUAAUGUCUUGACGGUAUCGUAAGAAUAAGGAUCGGCUAACUCCGUGCCAGCCGCCGCGGUAAUAC
rnacentral:rRNA from 1 species